rnacentral:tRNA from 1 species
GGUCCUGUAGAACAGUAUGGAGUGUUCGCUUCCCUGUCACGGAAGAGGUCGCCGGUUCAAGUCCGGUCAGGAUCGC